rnacentral:rRNA from 1 species
CCUACGGGUGACAGCAGUCGAGAAUCAUUCACAAUGGGGGAAACCCUGAUGCUGCGACGCCGCGUGGGGGAAUGAAGGUCUUCGGUUUGUAAACCCCUGUCAUGUGGGAGCAAAUUAAAAAGAUAGUACCACAAGAGGAAGAGACGGCUAACUCUGUGCCAGCAGCCGCGGUAAUACAGAGGUCUCAAGCGUUGUUCGGAAUCACUGGGCGUAAAGCGUGCGUAGGCUGUUUCGUAAGUCGUGUGUGAAUGGCGCGGGCUCAACCCGCGGACGGCACAUGAUACUGCGAGACUAGAGUAAUGGAGGGGGAACCGGAAUUCUCGGUGUAGCAGUGAAAUGCGUAGAGAUCGAGAGGAACACUCGUGGCGAAGGCGGGUUCCUGGACAUUAACUGACGCUGAGGCACGAAGGCGAGGGGAGCGAAAGGGAUUAGAUACCCGUGUAGUC